AGGACGAACGCUGGCGGCGUGCUUAACACAUGCAAGUCGAACGAUGAUGCCAGCUUGCUGGUGGAUUAGUGGCGAACGGGUGAGUAACACGUGGGUGAUCUGCCCCGAACUUUGGGAUAAGCCUGGGAAACUGGGUCUAAUACCGGAUAGUACCUUCCCUUGCAGUGGGGGUUGGUGGAAAGCUCCGGCGGUUUUGGGAUGGGCCCGCGGCCUAUCAGCUUGGUUGGUGGGUAAUGGCCUACCGAAGGCGACGGACGGGUAGCCGGCCUGAGAGGGCGACCGGCCAGACGUGGACUGGAGACACGGCCCAGACCGUCGUACGGGAGCGAGCGAGGUGGGAAUAUGCAGAA
rnacentral:rRNA from 1 species